rnacentral:lncRNA from 1 species
GAUUCUCCUGUUUGAGGAACGUUGCUGGCUAGUGACAUGGAGGAGCACUCACCAAGAGAGAAGGGGUUGAUUUUAUCACUGAAAGCCCAGCUCUGUGGUACAUUCUAGGAGCUCUCAACAUCUAACUGAUGGUGCGCACCAGAAGCUUCUCCCUCCUAUUGAAUCUAAUGAGAACAUCACGUGGGCAAGCAUUCAGUUAACACCCAAAAAGAGCUGCAGCCACAGACUGGCACUGCAUCAGGAAAGGCAGACGGGAACACAUUCUAGUGAAAUGCAGGAAGUUAGAGACACAAGGCAAAAAAGAUGUUAAAGAGUUUUGUGUCAGAGAUAGCAGAAACUCCUUAAUUACUUUUUGGAGUUUGGAUUUCUAAAUCACAGCUUUCUGGAAAAUUCAGAUUCUUAUCAGUAAAAGAUCCUGCUUUAGGUUAU